rnacentral:tRNA from 1 species
AUUUAUUUAGUAUAGUAGUAUAUCUGACUUCCAAUCAGAAGGCCUGAGACCUCUCAGAAUAAGUA